rnacentral:tRNA from 1 species
GGGUCCUUAGCUCAGUUGGUAGAGCGCGUCGUUCGCAAUGACGAGGUCAGGAGUUCGAUUCUCCUAGGAUCCA